AUUGAACGCUGGCGGCAUGCCUUACACAUGCAAGUCGAACGGCAGCACGGGAGCAAUCCUGGUGGCGAGUGGCGAACGGGUGAGUAAAGUAUCGGAACGUGCCCAGUCGUGGGGGAGAACGUAGCGAAAGUUACGCUAAUACCGCAUACCAUCUAUGGAUGAAAGCGGGGGAUCGGAAGACCUCGCGCGAUUGGAGCGGCCGAAAUCAGAUUAGGUAGUUGGUGGGUUAAAGGGUCACAUAGCCGACGUUAUGGGGCUGGUCUGAGAGGACGACCAUCCACCCUGGGACUGAGACACGGCCCAGACUCCUACGGGAGGCAGCAGUGGGGAAUUUUGGACAAUGGGCGAAAACCUGAUCCAGCCAUGCCGCGUGCAGGAUGAAGGCCUUCGGGUUGUAAACUGCUUUUGUACGGAACGAAAAGGUUUGGCCUAAUAAGCUGAGCUCAUGACGGUACCGUAAGAAUAAGCACCGGCUAACUACGUGCCAGCCGCCGCCGUAA
rnacentral:rRNA from 1 species